rnacentral:rRNA from 1 species
GACGAACGCUGGCGGCGUGCUUAACACAUGCAAGUCGAACGGAAAGGCCCUGCUUUUGUGGGGUGCUCGAGUGGCGAACGGGUGAGUAACACGUGAGUAACCUGCCCUUGACUUUGGGAUAACUGCAGGAAACUGGGGAUAAUACCGGAUAGGAGCUCCUGCUGCAUGUUGGGGGUUGGAAAGUUUCGGCGGUUGGGGAUGGACUCGCGGGUUAUCAGCUUGUUGGUGGGGGAGUGGCUUACCAAGGCUUUGACGGGUAGCCGGCCUGAGAGGGUGACCGGCCACAUUGGGACUGAGAUACGGCGCAGACUCGUACGGGAGGCAGCAGUGGGGAAUAUUGCACAAUGGGGGGAAGCCUGAUACAGCAACGCCGCGUGCGGGAAGACGGCCUUCGGGUGGUAAACCGCUUUCGCCUGUGACGAAGCGGGAGUGACGGUAAUGGGUAAAGAAGCACCGGCUAACUACGUG